rnacentral:lncRNA from 1 species
UAAAUUCAGUCUUUCCAGAGUGGAUUUUUAUCAGUGAAGUGUUAAUUCAAGCAGUGAGCAUAAAGGAAUAGUGAAUAAUUCAAAACAAAACAAGCUGAACUCUAAACAUCUGAAUCCUCAAAAACUUUAUUAAGAGGAAGGCAGUAGCCAAGUGAAGCAGCUGGAAUCACACUGAAGUCACUCUGAACUCUACAGAUCACUUCGUUCUUCCUUCUGCUACAGAGAGCACAUCCCUGACUUACAGCGUACUUUCUUCUG